rnacentral:tRNA from 1 species
GGGGCUGUAGCUUAGUUGGCAUAAAGCGCUGCACUGUCUAUGCAGAGAACGAGGGUUCAAAUCCCUCCAGCCUCGCCA